rnacentral:lncRNA from 10 species
GCACCCUGGCUGCUCGCAUCUGCAGGAAGCAUGGUGGGGCUGGGCGGUCCCAGGCUGCCGUGGCCCCUUUGUGCUGCUGUAAGAAGGUACCUGUGACUGGGUGACUCAUAAGGAGCAGAAAUGUACUGCUCACAGCUCUGGAGUCUGGGAAGUCUGAAACCAGGGCCCCGGCAGGUUUGGUGUUUGGCGAGGACUGCUCUCUGCUUCCAAGGUGGUCCCCUUGUUACUGUGUCCUCUCAUAGCAGAAGGCAGGAGGGCAAAAGGGGCCUGGCCAGUCAGACAGCCCUUUCGUAAGGCUCUAAUCCUACCCUUGACGGUGGAACCCUCACGGCCUAACCCUCCCGAAGGCCUCACCUCUGAACACUGUUGCGCUGGGGAUUAAGUUUCAACAUGGAUUUCGGAGGAACACAGACAUUGAAACCACAGCAGUGCCAUCGCUCCCAGGCUGAGACCCCACCUUGGCUCUCUGCCCCUAGCAUCUCCUCCCUGGCCCCUGGAGAGACACAGGAGAAGGAGAGAAGGGCUAUUCUGUAGGAAUCACAAGGCCGAGUGGACUCUCACCUGAGGGAGGGCACCUGCAGCUUGGCUGGCCCCAGGGAUCUGUGGGCACGGAGCAUGUGGCUGGGUGCCUAUCACCUUCUUCCCCACUUUACCCUGGGCAUCCAGCCCCUGGACCAUGACUGCCAGGCACGGAGCAGGUGUGGAGGAGUGUCAGCAUGAUGAAAUUCACCCACACCACGGCUGCCACAGAUGGACAGCCUCACGGAGAGGGUGCCGCCCACAGCCCCUCGCUGCCCUGGGUCCAGCUGAUGCUCAGCUCCAUGGUCCGGCCGCUGCUGGUGGCGGUGUUGGCCCAAGGGUGAUGCUCUCCUCCCUCUGCCGGGAACACCCCUGGCAAGGACGCUGCCCACCCAUCCCCGCACAUGGAAAGGAGGUGAGGCAGCUGCGGCAUCUUCACAGAACACGUCCCCCCGACACGCACCAAGACAUGGCUCGAGGCCCGGGCCUCCCACACACCCAUGGGCUUCCAGCACGUCCUUCCCACGUCAGACACCAGACAGAGCCGGUGCAGGUGGCUUCCAGGUGGCAUGUCCCUUCGGAUGGGCUCUGCCGUCCCUGUCAUGUGCACCAGCUGCUGCAUCCACCCUUAGUGCCAGCUCUGGGGGCCUAAGCAGGAGCUCAGGGACAUGGAGACCGUGGAGAGGAGGCAUUCACUGUGGGGUGUCCCAAGGCUGGGCACCAAGGCAGGACCUCCGUGUGCCCCGAAUGCCGGCUUCCCUGGAGACUGCAGCCAGCGGGGAUCUCUCACAUCAGCCUCCCAAGACCACCGUGAGGGGGGCGCUUAGGAGCAGAAACACCCAGGCCGAGCAGGAUGAGCAGGUGAAGCUGCCCAACGCAGGGGACGGGACGCAGAGGCGAUUCACGAGCCUGGGGCUCCAGCAGCAGCCAGGCGGAUCCCGCCACACCUUUCGCUCUCAGCUACCAGUCUGCCUGCCACCAUCACCUUCCCGCGUGUGAGUGGGGCCCUGGUUCCCCAAGCAGCCGCUGACUCCCGGACGCCUGCUGGCCAGGCCCCGGUCAUGAGUGCAUCCGGGGAAGGCUUCGGGCCUACAGGAACGGAAGGAAAAGCCAUCCAGCCUCCCUGACCCUCCACACGGAAGCUGAGGGGUUCCCCAUACACCGGCUGCCGGGGACUGCCUCGACUCUGGUUUUGGCAGAGACAGGCCCUGCUGUGUCCGUCAUCUCUGAUGGAAGUGACAGCCAUUUCCCCUGCAGACAGGCCAGAGCGGCCUAUCCACGCUCCACGGUGUGAGGCCAGUGGUGGCGUCCCCAGGGCCACAGCCCAGCGAGGGUGAGGUGGGGGAGCGUCCUGGCUGAGGGCUGGGCCGCCUCCCGCGUGCUCUGGGGAACAAUGCUUCCGCACCACCCCCGCCCCUUCCUGGCUUCUGUGAAACUGAACAUCUCCAAGUAAAUAUUUUCACUGCUAAGCACAGGCAGCACUUCGAGGCUUCGUGACGAAGACGUGGAAAUGCUUGACCCUCACCUCUCACCUCUCACCUCUGCAGGUCCUGGGCGCAGACUUCACCUUCUGGACCUUCUCCUAUCCGGAAAGUAUGUGGCUCACACGGUGGUGCAAGGAGCCUUGGGCUGGGCAGCUGCUGGCCUGGAUCCGAGUCCUGCCCUGGUGAAAGUGCUGAUUACUUUACAUACUUCUACAUCUGCAGAACCAGGUGAUUGAUCCUCAAAGCCCAGCCAGCUCCAGCAAGCUCUGGUACCUGCAACCACGGGCCGCCCUGUGCCCGGCCCACCUUCCUCGAACCGUGUU